rnacentral:rRNA from 1 species
AUUGAACGCUGGCGGCAGGCUUAACACAUGCAAGUCGAGCGGGGUGAUGGUGCUUGCACUAUCACUUAGCGGCGGACGGGUGAGUAAUGCUUAGGAAUCUGCCUAUUAGUGGGGGACAACAUCUCGAAAGGGAUGCUAAUACCGCAUACGUCCUACGGGAGAAAGCAGGGGAUCAAUUGUGACCUUUCGCUAAUAGAUGAGCAUAAGUCGGAUUAGCUAGUUGGUGGGGUAAAGGCCUACCAAGGCGACGAUCUGUAGCGGGUCUGAGAGGAUGAUCCGCCACACUGGGACUGAGACACGGCCCAGACUCCUACGGGAGGCAGCAGUGGGGAAUAUUGGACAAUGGGGGGAACCCUGAUCCAGCCAUGCCGCGUGUGUGAAGAAGGCCUUAUGGUUGUAAAGCACUUUAAGCGAGGAGGAGGCUCUUUUGGUUAAUACCCAAGAUGAGUGGACGUUACUCGCAGAAUAAGCACCGGCUAACUCUGUGCCAGCCGCCGCCGUAA